AUGCCACUCUCUCGGCCUGUAAGAUUUCCACUGAAAAGUCUGCUGCCAGAUGUAUUGGAACUCUAUAGGAAAAAAAAAUCUAAUAAUUCAAUGAAAAGAGCUAUCACACAAAAAUAAAACAGAAAAAGGAAAUAAAUUUUCCUGAGCAACUUCUCCUAACUUCAAUAUCCAGAGAGAAAUUAAGAAAAUAAGAGGAAAGAUGAAAGCCUAACAAGAUUUAAGAAGAAAGUUUUCCAUUAUUCAUUUAAUUCACUUUUAGCUGACCAAGUUGUUCCUGUUGAAUAGAAAGCAUCGAGAAAAUGAAGAGAUCUAAAUGCCAGCAGGAGACGAGCUGCAUUCUUCUAGGCAUGUCCUGAGCCUAGUCACCCAGAACAACUUGUGAUCCCUGGACAAAGCCGUUCACAGCAGGUGGCCAUAUCAAGAAAUUUUCCUCCUGGAAUUAGAUAUUAUCCCAGGAAUCACUACUGAGUCAAACAUAAUGCCCCAUCCUGCUGGGUCAAGUAGGAUUCCAUUUCAAUUUCUUUACACAACGAUGCGUUUCAUCUUGUCUGCGUACAAUGACAGUGCUCAGGCAUGAAAUAAAUUGAAGUGCCUGAAAGGCAGAAUUAUCCCUUGAACCUGCAGCAUUCCCAACCCCAAAAACACACAUUGUCAAGUGAGUUCCAGAUAAGCAGGAUCUUCAGCAAGUGUUUGUGCUGCUUGGCUUCCUUUAAUCAUACUCCCUUUUGUAAAACGGAUUUUCGAGGGGAAAGAUAAAUCAUUUCUGAGGAAAAAGGUCAUUUUCAAAAGGCUUAAGAGGUUCAUUUUGUGUGGCUUUCCAAGGUGAAACAGGUAAUUCAGAGUAGUGAAAGUCUUUUGUGAUCAACUUAAUUCAUCCUUCAUAUUACCAAGAAUAAAAACUAUUGAAAUAAGACUGAAUAAACUUCUUUAUAACAAAGUUCCUAAGGAUAGAAAGUGAUGAUUUGUUGUUUGUUAAGAAACUGUCCAAACUCCAGCAAAUGAAAGUUUAGGUUGAGAGCAAGCUUUCCUUCCACCUUCUCUUCAGAAAGCAUAGUGGUUUUUCUGGGCUGUUUGGCACACAUAUUUCAAUAACUUAUCAAUAACACACCUCUGUUUACAGAACAUCAGGCUAGCUUCAGCAUAGCCGUAAAGCCAAAGAGCAUUUUUCUCCAUUGUCACAUUAUGUUUGAGCUCUUUAGAGAUACAGACUUGAGAAAAUUCAAGGAAUAACAUUUCCUUUCUAUUUUACUGAAAACAACCUUUCCAUAGCAGUCAGAUAUUUUGUAAUCUUAUAUUCCACCUGUGAGAAUAGUUUUCUUGAAUUUAUAUGUGGAAGAAAUUGAUACAGAAGAAAUAAGAUAUAUCUUAAUUUUAAUAAGUUAGAGUAUCUUGCAAAUUGUUACCAAAAACAACUACUAGGACAAAAGGAAAGAAAGUAAAAUACAUACAAUGACUUGAUAUUUAAUGCAUAAAUCUUGUAAAAUGUUUCUCUUUUAAUUUUGAUUGAUUUGAUUUAAAUGUGCAUCUUUAGGCAGUCUGGAAGGUCCUUUAGAAUAUACAAUAAUAACUAACUGCAAGUUGUUAUAUAUGUUUAGAAUUCUAUUAAUGUUCUUUUUAUCUAUAUAAUUGAAUAUUCAACAGUGAUCCCAACAUUCAAGUGAAUUUGCCUACCAGCUGAUAAUCGGUUUUAGACUUGCUUUCUUCCACAUUGUAUAAAUUAUUUAACUGUGUAUAUUGUGGCAGUAAGUGCUGUAAUUCUGCAAAGUUACUCUAGCUAAAAGAGUCAGGCACCUAUGAAUGCACAACUUUAGCCACUAACCCCACAGAAUUUACUCAGAGUAGUCUAAGGAAUCUAUAAAAAGAGAAACAGUUGUUACAGGCUAUUUACCUAGAAGAGUCAAUGAAAAAUAAUUCCACUUAUUGAAAAGGAAUAUCA
rnacentral:lncRNA from 1 species